rnacentral:rRNA from 1 species
AACGAACGCUGGCGGCAUGCCUAACACAUGCAAGUCGAACGAGACCUUCGGGUCUAGUGGCGCACGGGUGCGUAACGCGUGGGAACCUGCCCUUAGGUUCGGAAUAACUCCCCGAAAGGGGUGCUAAUACCGGAUAAUGUCUUCGGACCAAAGAUUUAUCGACUUUGGAUGGGCCCGCGUUGGAUUAGCUAGUUGGUAGGGUAAAAGCAUACCAAGGCGACGAUCCAUAGCUGGUUUGAGAGGAUGAGCAGCCACACUGGGACUGAGACACGGCCCAGACUCCUACGGGAGGCAGGAGUGGGGAAUAUUGGACAAUGGGGGGAAGGCUGAUCCAGCAAUGACGCGUGAGUGAUGAAGGCAUUAGGGUUGUAAAGCUCUUUUAACCGGGAUGAUAAUGACAGUACCGGGAGAAUAAGCUCCGGCUAACUCCGUG